rnacentral:lncRNA from 1 species
CUAUUUGCGUUUUCUUUAAAGACCCCAUGAUAAAAUCCCUAAGGGGCAUUACAAAUGAUGUCAUUUAACUAACUCCAACCAUUUAUUGUACCAUUUCAGGUAAAGGACUUAUUUAAAGAUGUAAAUGAUGUGUGAAAUUUUUUAAUGUACUUUUAAAACAUAAUUUUCUGACAAGGACACUAGAAUUCUAUGCCCAGAAAGUUUUUUUUUAACUUCAGCCUAAAAUACUAAUUAACAGGAAAUGUUUCUUAUUCAUAAAAACUCAUGUAUUUGAGACAUUGUAAGAAAUCUUUGGCAACUUAGCCAGACAGCAUCACCUUCCACAUGGUCUACUGGUAAAGCCUGGGAUUCAAAUGUGUUCUUAUCUAUAAUAAAUGAGCUCUUAGAUUGUGUGGUAUAUUGCUAGAAACCAUGAAUUCCUAAAUUGAGCUGAAUCAUUCUCAGAAGUGAAAAUAUCACUGAUUUUAGGUUUCAUGUUUGUUUUUUAAUGCAGAAUUUCUUUGAUUAAACACAUAAAUGCCUUAGUUUGCCUUCAUACUACGGAUCUCAUACACACUGUGAUUUCAUGUCAGGCUCUUAAUGAUCUGCAUCUUUGGCCCUUUUCUUUUCUGGAUUAAUUUUAAUGUGAACUAAUUUAACUUUAUAGAAUGCCCCUCACUAUUUUCCCAGAAUCUUAGAAAUAUUGUAAGGGUCUGUAUGUGUCCUUAUGUCCACAAGCUGCCUAAGAACAUGGUUACACUCAAUUCUUUAGGUUCCUUUCUUGUAUUAUCUUCAGAGCAAUCCUGUGAGGCAGAUAGGACUAGAGAUAUUACCAGUUUGUAGAUGAAAUACUAAGAUACCUGGAAGAACUGUUUUAUCUAUCUGUACCCAACACGGAAUAGUCACGUCUCAGAUGUAUUAUAGAGAGGGUCUAUA